rnacentral:tRNA from 1 species
AGCUCAGUUGGUUAGAGCGCACCCCUGAUAAGGGUGAGGUCGGUGGUUCAAAUCCACCC